GGGAAAGAUUUAUCGCUAAAGGAUGGGGCUUUAUUGUAUCAGCUAGUUGGUGGGGUAAUGGCCUACCAAGGCUAUGACGCAUACCUGGUCUGAGAGGAUGAUCAGGCACACUGGAACUGAGACACGGUCCAGACUCCUACGGGAGGCAGCAGUGGGGAAUAUUGCACAAUGGAGGAAACUCUGAUGCAGCAACGCCGCGUGGAGGAUGACGCAUUUCGGUGUGUAAACUCCUUUUAUAGGGGAAGAUAAUGACGGUACCCUAUGAAUAAGCACCGGCUAACUCCGUGCCAGCAGCCGCGGUAAUACGGAGGGUGCAAGCGUUACUCGGAAUCACUGGGCGUAAAGGAUGCGUAGGCUGGAAAUCAAGUCGAGAGUGAAAUCCAACGGCUCAACCGUUGAACUGCUCUCGAAACUGGUUACCUAGAAUAUGGGAGAGGUAGAUGGAAUUAGUGGUGUAGG
rnacentral:rRNA from 1 species